rnacentral:rRNA from 1 species
GACGAACGCUGGCGGCGUGCUUAACACAUGCAAGUCGAACGGUAAGGCCCUUCGGGGUACACGAGUGGCGAACGGGUGAGUAACACGUGGGUGAUCUGCCCUGCACUUCGGGAUAAGCCUGGGAAACUGGGUCUAAUACCGGAUAGGACCACUGCCUGCAUGGGUGGUGGUGGAAAGCUUUUGCGGUGUGGGAUGGGCCGGCGGCCUAUCAGCUUGUUGGUGGGGUGAUGGCCUACCAAGGCGACGAAGGGUAGCCGGCCUGAGAGGGUGACCAGCCACACUUGGACUGAGAUACUGCCCAGACUCCUACGGGAGGCAGCAGUGGGGAAUAUUGCACAAUGGGCGCAAGCCUGAUGCAGCGACGCCGCGUGAGGGAUGACGGCCUUCGGGUUGUAAACCUCUUUCAGCACCGACGAAGCGCAAGUGACGGUAGGUGCAGAAGAAGGACCGGCCAACUACGUGCCAGCCGCCGCCGUAA